UUUGAUGGAAUUGACAUUAAGCGGAAGGGACAUCAUAUCAAUUUGGGAAGGAGAGUUUCCAAAGAGCUUUAGCAAAGUAAAAACUCUUCAAUUGAUUAAGGAUGAAUAUGCAAAUAUCCAAUUCAGAUCCUUCAUAAAUUUAACUGUCUUGAAAAACUCAUAUUGAAAGUGAGUUCAUAUGAAGAGAUAUUCUCAUUUGGAGAGGAUAAGGAACACGUUAGAGCACUCACAAAAUUAAAGAUUUUAGUGUUGCAUGGACUUUUUAAUUUAAAGUGCAUUUGGAAACAAGGCUCCCAAUUGAACUCAAUUCUUCAAAAUCUUGAUUGUCUAGAUGUGCAAUAUUGUCACAAUUUGACUACUCUGUUGCCAUCUUUAGCAUCUUUUGAAAAUCUGAGGACUUUGAAGGUUUCGUGUUGCAAUGGAAUGUUAAACUUAAUGUCAUCCUCAACAACCAAAAGUUUAGUGCGACUAGAAGAGUUGGAUAUAUAUUCAUGUGAAAUGAUGAUAGAAGUAUUAGUAAAUGAGAGAGGUAUAGAGAAAGGUGAGAUUGUUUUUGAGAAAUUGAAGAAUUUGCGUUUGCAUAAUUUAGAAAGUCCCACAUGCUUUUGCUCCGGGGAUUACAACACCUUGAAAUUCCCUUUCUUGGAAAGAAUAUAUGUGAAUGAAUGCUCCAAGAUGAAAACUUUCUUUAGAGUAGGCUUAAGCAUGCCAAGAUUACAUAAGUUGAACAGGGAGAGAUUGUUCGGAGAGUGACUAAUACAAUCAUACAACAAUUACAAAAUGAUGAGAUUGCCUAGUUGUUCCCGAAUCUUUAACAAAGAUCGGCAAAAUUGGUGCCAAAUGAUGUCGAAUACGCUUCAAGCAGGUUAGAAGCUGAAAAUUGGCAUCGUAUUUUUCUGGGCUCUUGGUGAUAGAUUACUUGCAUGAUCGUGCGAAAGGUAGUAUCCGAUUUAGGAUAGGUGCAGCAAGGAU